rnacentral:rRNA from 1 species
GAUGAACGCUGGCGGCGUGCCUAACACAUGCAAGUCGAGCGAUUCUCUUCGGAGAAGAGCGGCGGACGGGUGAGUAACGCGUGGGUAACCUGCCCUGUACACACGGAUAACAUACCGAAAGGUAUGCUAAUACGAGAUAAUAUACUUUUAUCGCAUGGUAGAAGUAUCAAAGCUCCGGCGGUACAGGAUGGACCCGCGUCUGAUUAGCUAGUUGGUAAGGUAACGGCUUACCAAGGCGACGAUCAGUAGCCGACCUGAGAGGGUGAUCGGCCACAUUGGAACUGAGACACGGUCCAAACUCCUACGGGAGGCAGCAGUGGGGAAUAUUGCACAAUGGGCGAAAGCCUGAUGCAGCAACGCCGCGUGAGCGAUGAAGGCCUUCGGGUCGUAAAGCUCUGUCCGUCAACGGAAGGAUAAUGACGGUACUUGAGGAGGAAGCCCGGC